UACGUAGGGUGCGAGCGUUGUCCGGAAUUAUUGGCGUAAAGGGCUCGUAGGCGGUUUGUCGCGUCGGGAGUGAAACCUUGGGCUUAACUCAGGGCUUGCUUUCGAUACGGGCAGACUAGAGGUAUGCAGGGGAGAACGGAAUUCCUGGUGUAGCGGUGAAAUGCGCAGAUAUCAGGAGGAACACCGGUGGCGAAGGCGGUUCUCUGGGCAUGAUCUGACGCUGAGGAGCGAAAGUGUGGGAGCGAACAGG
rnacentral:rRNA from 1 species